GCAUCAUUUGUAACAAAGUUUCCGUAGGUGAACCAGCGGAGGGAUCAUU
rnacentral:rRNA from 1 species